CGGAGGAGCAUGUGGUUUAAUUCGAUGAUACGCGAGGAACCUUACCUGGGCUCAAAUGUAUGUUGACGUAUUCUGAAAGGGAUACUUCUUCGGACAAUAUACAAGGUGCUGCAUGGUUGUCGUCAGCUCGUGCCGUGAGGUGUCGGGUUAAGUCCCAUAACGAGCGCAACCCCUAUCAUUAGUUGCCAUCAGGUCAAGCUGGGGACUCUAAUGAAACUGCCUACGCAAGUAGUGAGGAAGGCGGGGAUGACGUCAAAUCAGCACGGCCCUUACGUCCAGGGCUACACACGUGCUACAAUGGCCGAUACAGAGGGCAGCUACCUGGUGACAGGAUGCAAAUCUCCAAAGUCGGUCUCAGUUCGGAUCGGAGUCUGCAACCCGACUCCGUGAAGUUGGAUUCGCUAGUAAUCGCGCAUCAGCCAUGGCGCGGUGAAUACGUUCCCGGGCCUU
rnacentral:rRNA from 1 species